UUUAAGCUCCAAAAUGCUCCAAAGUCAUAGCUUUACUCCGAAAUGCACCUGAACCUGAAAACAUACCUAGAAGAGUAAAAAACAUAGAUAUAUAUAUAUAGUAAAACACCUAUAUACCAUGGAUGAAAACGGGUCAAAUCCAAGGUAUAUCAGGGAGAAAGUCAGCCAACAGCCUAAAUUCAGGUUUGCUCUCCUAUUAUAUUUUAUUGGUCUUGUGAUAAUCUUCUAACAGCAUUGGUCUUGUGAUAAUCUUCUAACAUGAAUUUUGGCUCUUUUUCAGGUCUCAGGUUAUUAAGGAAUGUUAUUAUUAUGGAUCAUUUCUUUUGGUAUCGUAUUUUCAAGAACAAGACAGCC
rnacentral:lncRNA from 1 species